rnacentral:rRNA from 1 species
UACGUAGGGGGCUAGCGUUGUCCUGAAUCAUUGGGCGUAAAGCGCGUGUAGGCGGUCCGGUAAGUCCGCUGUGAAAGUCGGGGGCUCAACCCUCGAAUGCCGGUGGAUACUGUCGGGCUAGAGUGCGGAAGAGGCGAGUGGAAUUCCUGGUGUAGCGGUGAAAUGCGCAGAUAUCAGGAGGAACACCAAUUGCGAAGGCAGCUCGCUGGGACGUAACUGACGCUGAGACGCGAAAGCGUGGGGAGCGAUCCGG